UACAGAGGGUGCAAGCGUUAAUCGGAAUUACUGGGCGUAAAGCGCGCGUAGGUGGUUUGGUAAGUCGGUUGUGAAAGCCCCGGGCUCACCCUGGGAAUUGCAGUCGAUACUGCCUGACUAGAGUAUGGUAGAGGGAAGUGGAAUUUCCGGUGUAGCGGUGAAAUGCGUAAAUAUCGGAAGGAACACCAGUGGCGAAGGCGACUUCCUGGGCCAAUACUGACGCUGAGGUGCGAAAGCGUGGGGAGCAAACAGG
rnacentral:misc_RNA from 1 species